rnacentral:lncRNA from 1 species
AUGUUUUGUUGACUUUUCAUAUCUACGUGCACACUAGUGAUUUAUAAUAAACUUUUCGCAAAGUAUGCAUGUAAGAAUUCAUUGUUAAAUAACUUUUCUGCUUGGAUAUUGUAUAGCCGCCACAGAAGUUUUAUCCAUUUUGUUGUUGUUUCAAAGUAAAAUUCGCCACAGAAGUUUUAUCCAUUUUGUUGUUGUUUCAAAGUAAAAUUUUUGUAAGUAUGACAUUAAUCAUUUGUUUUAACGACGAAUUAAAACAACAUUUAUAUCGUAGAAAGUCAAAUAAUAACAUGACUUAUAGAAAAUAAGGCUUACAACAGUGCACAAAAUUUAAAACUAAAACUUAAGUAUUUGCAAGCAGAUCCUUAGAUAUCGUAGUUUAAUUGGAUACUUGGCUAUUUACUUUGCAGUUUCCUAGCUGUUUUUAAAAGCACUACAGAAUGAGUUCAAAAUUUUAUAUUAUUGCAGGUUAAAUAUUUGAAAAAAAAAACUAUUUCUUUUAGAAUAAUACCUCUGAUGUAGAUUAUAGCGAUAUUUUAAGCCGUCAAUCAUUUUUUUUCUCUCUCAGAAGCACUCUAUUUCUUAUAGGUUACUACUCAAAUGCUUCCGUCUAUUCCUCUCCUUUUGCAGGUUGUUUGAUUUCGGACUGUUACAGGAUAGUAAGGAUAAUGUUGAGAGUAUGAAUUGAGAAUGUGUCAAAGAGACAACAACCCAACAAAAGCGAAACCAGCGAAGGACAAGAAAUAUAUUGUCAAUACAUCAAGUCACUUGUUCGGAAUUAGAAUAUAGAGUUUAUUGCUUUACACAAAAUAUACGAUAUACAUCUUUCCUAAGAAGCUAUUAGUCAAUAAACAUGGUCCAAAUAAUGUGUUGUGUCUUAGAUAUGUCUUACAUAAAUCAAUCAUUACCCUUUAAACAAAACAAAACACGAAACAAGUAAAGGUUGUAUAUCCGCUUAGAAAAUGACAUUUGUAUUGCACGAGACCAUAUACAAAAUCCAGUGACUCUUGUUAAUAUUUGAAUUCUCAGUAUGCUAGACCAUCUGAUGAGAACAUUUAGCUAAAUCAAUGGUGGUUUAAAUAAUGCCUUCUUAUGUAAUUAACAUGCACUUUAGGUAAGUUGAAUAGUAUAAUCGUGUAACGAGCUCGAGUAUUUUAGUUUCUGUUUUUUAUUUAUACUUGUUUGCAUGAAAUUAACAUUGAGUUAUCAAAAGAUGCUAAAAUGAUUUUGAUAAAAGAAUCUAUUAAAAACAACAAUCAGAGGAAGUAAGUAAUCGAUUACACACAAAUCAUUCAAGCAAUCAUUAAUCCAUUCAUUUUUAUAUCAACCAACCAACAAUUAAAUAUAAUGUCAUUAAAUACAUUGGUUUUGUUUAAUAUUUCCAGCCAUAGAUAAAGUCAAAGAAUUUAGAUGGAUAGCGAUAAUUCAAAUCAAGAGACACUGGACCGAAGUGUUUAUCAUCCAGAUAAAAAGCAUGCUAAAAAUAAUUGCAGUGGUUUUGGCGAUGUUAUGGACAGAAUAGUGCAUUAUUCACCCAAAGUUGAUAAUGAGAAUAAAUCAUUUAAAAAACGAGAGGAAAAUUACCAAGGAGACAAUCUGCCAACGACCUUAAAUAGUGUUAGAAAUGAAACAACAAAAGAACACGAGGAGCCCGAGGUUGUGUUGAAUAGUUCAGAUAAUGCUGAAAUCCAUAACGUUAAGACAAAGAAACUAUCACAAGAGAAAAGUAUGUCAUUGUCAGAAAAUGGUUCAGAUUUUGAUUCACAAAUAGUCAGCUCUGACAGAUUACCACUACCAAUCAACUCCGACUUAUUGCCACCAACAGACGACUUUAACGUUAUUCCAUCGAUAGCCAGCUCUGAGGUUAAUCAACAAAAAGCCAACUCUGACGUUAAUCAACCAGCGAGCUCUGACGUUUAUCUACAAACAACCAACUGUGACGUGGAUCAACCAGCAGCUACCUCUGAUGUUUAUCCAAAAACAUCAAGCUCUGUCGUUUAUCUACAAACAGUUAGAUCUGACGUAUUCAAACCAACGUCCAGCUCUGACAUAUAUCUAUCAAAAGGCAACUCUGACGUAAAUCAAUCAAUCGUCAGCACUGAUAUCGAUGUACAUCAACCAACAGCUUACUCUGACGUUAGUCCACCAACAGCCAACUCUGACGUUCGUCCACCAAUCGCCAGUACUGACGUACAUCAACUGACAGCCAGCUCUAACGAAAUUCCACGUUAUAUCCCUUGUUUAACCUUUCAAUAACACUUAACCCUCAAUGUAAAAUGUUAAAAUAACGAAAACGGUAAAAAAAAA